CUGGUCUCAAACUCAAGACCUCAGAUGAUCUGCCUGAAAUGGCCUCCCAAAGUGCUGGGAUUACAGGCGUGAGCCACCGCGCACAGUCUAUAAUACUGAUUUUUAACCAAUUUAGGAGGGAAAUGUCAGAUAGGAGGCAUGGUACAAGGAUAUUUAUGGAAUUCAUUACCACUUCACUAAGAAAACAUGAUAUAAAUUGUCCUUUGAAAGCUACUUUGGUAUAAAAAAAUCUAAAGUGCCCAUAAGUAUGCAUUCAUUAUUAGACACAAAUUACAACCUUACAACCUACUAUGUUUAUUUCAUUAAAGUGUCUCUUUUAGGCCGGGUGUGGUGGCUCACGCCUGUAAUCCCAACACUUUGGGAGGCUGAGGCAGGUGAAUCAUGAGAUCAGGAGUUCGAGACCAGCCUGAACAACAUGAUGAAACCCGUCUCUACUAAAAAUACAAAAAAAUUUAGCGGGGUUUGGUGGCACACACCUGUAAUCCCAGCUAUUUGGGAGGCUGAGGCAGGAGAUCACUUGAACCCAGGAUGCGGAGGUUGCAGUGAGCUGAGAUCACGCCACUGCACCCCAGCCUAGGUGACAGAGCAAGACUGUCUCAAAAAUAAAUAAAUAAAUAAAUAAAUAAAUAAAAUAAAGUGUUUCUUUUAAACUGGUAUUGCCUAAGGUGUAUUCUUUAUAAAACUUAGAAUUGUUAAAUAUUUUAAGAUUCCUUUGAAAGUGUUUUUGCAUUGAUGGUUUAAAUCAGUGAUAUCAAACUUUCCUGAUCCUAUGUGCCCAGAAAAAUGGGCAGGGGAAAGGAGGCAGCAUGGAACCUCAUUUUUUUGUGUGUAUCUGUGUGUACACGUGAGUGCACAUGUGUAUAUGUGUGGGGCCACAUGUGUUUUGUAUACGGUAUAUGCAUGAAAAUGUACCUUUGUACCUUAUACACAAAAACAAAUUAAACAAUGGCAUAAGCAGCAAUAUAAAUAAAAAAUGCUAAUACUUUCCUGCCAUAUUCCAAAAUAAACUGUCUUGUGUACUCUGCAGUGUGUACUUCCCCACUCUGAGACCACUAGCUCAGGUAAAGUAAUGAGCUUCUAAGCCAGACUGCAAAAAAGGGCAAGCACUAAUACCAUCGAAAUGAACAGAAGUGUUGAAUUCGAUCAUUUGCUUUUCAUUUCUGGGAGUCAUUACAUUUUGGUACUGAAUUCCAGGACUGAAAAUACACUGUUCAUUGUCUAACCAGGAGACAAAAUCCCUCAGAUAAACUAGUAUUUGACUCACAAUAUGCCUUUCCCAUGUAAGCAAGGACCGUGUUUCAAAGAUUGAUUUUGAAGCUGAAAUACGGAAUAUACUUUCGCAAAGAGUUCCAUUCCUCUAGGUCUUAUAUAAGAAUAUCUGGUGUAUACACAGUAUUCAUUCAUUUAUUCAUCUAUCUCACCAAAAGUAUAUAUUUUCAAACUUCAAAAUAAGUUUUAUUUGGGAAGAGUUUCUUAUUUUGUUAAAGCUACAAGCAAGUUUCUUUCCCAAUUACACUUCUAGAGAUCUUAGCAGUUUCAGAGAUUUCAGUGUUCAAAAGUAUAUUUCAAAAUUAACAACAAAACCAAACCCACACCAAAAGGAAAUAGCUUUGAGAUUAGUUUGGGAUGUACAGUCAUUGAUUUCAGGCGCCAACACUAUUUACUGAGUGCUACACUAUACAAUCAAAGGCCUCUUUUGCAAACUAUCCUCGGGUCAUACUGAACUUGCUCCACCCCCACACAAACCUUACUCACACCUUCAUGCUUUUGCACAUGCUGUUCCCCUCAGCCUGGUAAAAUGCUUCAGACUACAAACACAGCUCACCUCAACAUGAAACCUUCCCUAACUCACCCACAGGCUAACAGAUCUAUUCGUCUCUAAUUCUUCAGUACUUAGUUUGACAUAUUUCUUACCACAAUUUCCUGCCAUUAUCUGUUUCUAUCUAUAUUGUGUACUAUUCUGUGUUUUAAGAGCAAAAGCGUGAUUCUCAUUUAUCUUUAUAUUUCCACUUGGUACACAGUAGGCCCUCAAAUGCCUUCUAUAAAUGCAAUUGAACAAUGUUUCUAUAGAAAAAUGUUCCUUCAGCAUUUAAAUUGAGAUAUGUAGCAUACUUCAGUCCCUCACCAUGAAGCUUCACCCCUUUCCAUAAAGACCAUUCAACAAACCCCAACAGUACUAAUUGUCCUGCUAUCUGAGCAUCCAGAAAAGAAUUAAACUGCAACUUUUUCUUUCUUCUUGAGAUGGAGUUUUGCUCUUGACGCUCAGGCUGGAGUACAAUGGCGUGAUCUCGGCUCACUGCAACCUCUGCCUCCAGGGUUCAAGUGAUUCUCCUGCCUCAGCCUCCUGAGUAGCUGGGAUUAUAGGCAUCUGCCACCAUGCCUGGCUAAUUUUUGUAUUUUUAGUAGAGAUGGGGUUUCACUCUGUUGGCCAGGCUGGUCUCAAACUCCUGACCUCAGGUGAUCUGCCCACCUUGGCCUCCCAAAAUGCUAGGAUUACAGGCAUAAGCCACCGCACCCAGCCUAAGCUGUAACUUUCUGUUUAGAUUUGGGUUUCCUAUGACAAUUAAAAAAGAAUUAAUACUGAAACAACUUGUUUUACUUCGAGCUGCAAAAACAAAUUACCAUAGACUGAGUGGCUUAUUGAGAGGUGACAAUGUGCUAGCAGCCCUCGCUCGCUCUCAGCGCCUCCUCGGCCUCGGUGUCCGCUCUGACCGCACUCAAGGAGCACUUCAGCCCGCCGCUGUGCUGUGGGGACCCCUCUCUGUGGCUGGCCGAGGCCGGACUGGCUCUCUGCUCGCGGGGAAGUGUGGAGGGAGAGGCACGGGCAGGAGCCGGGCUGCGCGCAGCGCACGCGGGCCAGCACAGGUUCCGGGUGUGUACGGGCUCAGCAGGCCCAGCACUCGGUGCCACUGGCUGGUGCCUGCUGGGCUUAAUCAGGGGACAAGCUCCCUCUGGGCUGCUGGAGUGCCCAGGCUAGGUGCCACAAAGUCCCGCAGCCAGUGCCAUUGAGAGGUGAAGCUGGCUGGGCUUCUGAGUCGGGUGGGGACCUGGAGAACUUUUCUGUCUAGCUAAAGGUUUGUAAAUGCACCAAUCAGCACUCUGUGUCUACUUAAAGGUUUGUAAACGCACCAAUCAGUGCUCUGUGUCUAGCUAAUGGUUUAUAAAUACACCAAUCAGCGCUCUGUGUCUAGCUAGCCGGGUAGCAGACUUGGAGAACUUGUGUCUAGCUAAAGGAUUCUAAACGCACCAAUCAGCACUCUGUGUCUAGCUAAAGGUUUGUAAACACACAAAUCAGCGCUCUGUCAAAACGGACGAAUCAGUGCUCUGUAAAAUGGACCAAUCAGCUCUCUGUAAAAUGGACCAAUCAGCAGGAUGUUGGUGGGGCCAGAUAAGGGAAUAAAAGCAGGCCAACAGAGCCAGCAGCAGCAACCCGCUCGGGUCCCCUUCCAUACUGUGGAAGCUUUGUUUUUUCACUCUUCGCAAUAAAUCUUGCUGCUGCUCACUCUUUGGGUCCGUGCCACCUUUAAGAGCUGUAAUACUCACUGCAAAGGUCUGCAGCUUCACUCCUGAAGUCAGCGAGACCAAGAACCCACCAAUUCCAGACACAUUUUGGCGACCCAGAUGGGACUAUCACCUAUCGCCAAGUGGUGAGACUAUCGCCUAUCGCCAAGCGAAUGGAGGCCAUCAAGCUAUAGAUGGUCUUACAAAUGGAACCCCAAAUGAGCUCAACUAACAACUUCUACCGAGGACCCCUGGACCAACCCGCUGGCCCUUCCACUGGCCUAAAGAG
rnacentral:lncRNA from 1 species